rnacentral:misc_RNA from 1 species
AGAUGAGAAUCCUCGGCGAGGAACCUUGUAUGGGAUCAAUAGGAGUGUUUUCCAGAAUUUUCUUGCUAAUUUCUAUCGUUGCGUAUUUGUGUCAAAUUUGAGGGUUUGCGCAUUUUGAAGAUGAAGGCUUGCCAUUGGGUUUUUCGAUUGAUCGCAAAGUGUUUGAUGUUUGGUCUGUGUGGGAUGUAUUUGGAUUGGAUGUGCUCUCAGUGCCG